rnacentral:lncRNA from 1 species
AUAACAAAAUAACUCAUCAUAAUUAGACAGAACUCUCUCAUUCAAUAUAUAAAAACCAGAUUAGAUAAAAGUGAAAAAAAAUAGUAUUAUAAAAUAAUAUCAAAAAUAUUAUAAUAAAUAAAAAAAACAGAGGAUAUGAGAGAUUAAAAAAAAUAAAAAAUAAAGAACAUAAAAGAUGUGAUAUUAGACAAGAAAGUUGUGAUGAAAAUAUAAUUGGAAGAAAAAAUAGUAACAUAAAAAUGAGAAGAUGACAAAGAAAGAAGGUAAGAGAUGAGAGAUUAGAAUAGAAGAAACAAAAAGUAUAUGGUAAAGAAGAUGAGAAGAAUGUUUCA